GACGGAGGUCCCUAGCGUUGUUCGGAAUCACUGGGCUUAAAGCGCGUGUAGGCGGGGUGACAAGUACCUUGUGAAAUCCCCGGGCUCAACCCGGGAAUGGCUCGGUAUACUGUCACUCUUGAGGCAGGUAGAGGUCACUGGAACCUUAGGUGGAGCGGUGAAAUGCGUAGAUAUCUAAGGGAACGCCUGUGGCGAAAGCGGGUGACUGGGCCUGCCCUGACGCUGAGACGCGAAAGCGUAGGGAGCAAACGGG
rnacentral:rRNA from 1 species